AUUUAAUUGGCUUUCACGUUGGCAUUCAUCAAAACCUCGACUUUACAUGUAAACUUUUCAUUCUGCAAGACUGCGGAACUACGAGCGCUCGUCAAAAUUCACCUGGAAGGUAUUUUAAAGCACUUCACAAAGUAAUGAUAUGUUAUUAAACAGUGAUAGAGAAGAGAUUACCUUUCUAAUAAGGACCCCUGGGCAAACAAAUCAUUUCAACACUGGAUUUCAUAUUCUUGGACUACUUUUCCAAUGUGACUGACUUCACUACUGACCUUUAAAAGACGGCCGUAUGAGCUCUUGAGUCUGAGGAGAGACUUUGACUACAGUAAUUUACUUUGCAGCUGCUGCAUAUCAACACAUUAUUCUUCUCACGUGGAGAGAGUGGACAUGAAUAUCUGGCAGAUGUAUAAUAACGUGAAAUACUGGGCCCCUGAGUGCUGGCUGGCAAUAUGUUCCAUCAGAACUAGAAUGAAGCAUUCUCAUUGGAGACCUUGAAACGCUCCUUGAUUAGGCAGGUGUUAUUAAUCUUGUGUUGUCUGACAUUAAACCUCAGACAGGUGUGCAAAGUCAAAUUCAGUGCUGUGGUGCCGCUGACUGUCACUGCUGGCCUCCAAGCCAAAGUGUUCUGGAGCCGUUUUAAAAUGUAUCGUCAAGCUUCUGUAUUUUUAAGAAGACCUAACAGCUGUAAAUAUGGCUUGCAGUUUAUGUAGGAAGUGGAUCUGUCAUCCACAGCAGAAGGCUUGCUGGGUCUGGUCUGGGUGCUUGCCAGCUCUCCAGCUAGUGCUGAGGAGAAAGGAGGAGCGGAAAUGUCGGUUUGAAAAGGCUGCCCAACACCACGCGACGGGGCCCAG